UACGGGGGGAGCAAGCGUUGUUCGGAUUUACUGGGCGUAAAGGGCGCGUAGGCGGCCACUGCAAGUCGGUUGUGAAAUCUCCGGGCUUAACCCGGAAAGGUCAACCGAUACUGCAGGGCUAGAGUGCAGAAGGGGCAACUGGAAUUCCCGGUGUAGCGGUGAAAUGCGUAGAUAUCGAGAGGAACACCUGCGGCGAAGGCGGGUUGCUGGGCUGACACUGACGCUGAUGCGCGAAAGCUAGGGGAGCGAACGGG
rnacentral:rRNA from 1 species